CGGCUAAAUAUCCCCCCCCCUCUCUCUCUCUUUCUCUCGUUCAUCUCAGAGUCAAAAUUCAGAAACCCUAGCCGCUGCUCAUCUCGUUCAUUUUUUCUCACCCUCGAUCUCUCUCUCUUCUCACCCUCUCUAUCUUGCAUCGUUAGAUACCUUGGAAUGAGAUGAUGAAAUGGUACGACUUGUGUAGGUUUUGUUCAGGUAAGAUCUGUGCUACGACAUUCAGCUAAAGUCCAGUAACUUCACGUGUACGAGUUCAACAAGCAUGAUCGUGGAAGCCCUGCCUACCUACAAUUUACUAUUAAUAAAUGGUAUUAAUAGUAAGACUGUUUUUAUGUUUUUGAGUGGAGGUUUAUGUAUGGGUUUAGGACAGGAAAGAGCCAUUGUCUUUGGCUGCCAAAGACACGUCUGUCUCUUUGCUAUUUAGAUAUUUUGGCAUUGGCACUAGAUUUUGGUCCUGUUUGGUCGAUUUAUGAGCCAGUGAUGCUAUAUAGUAUAGACUUCUUUGUCAAUAUGUCUAGGGAACAAAAAAGAAAGAAAGAAAGAAAGUAAACAAUAGUACUUAGUCAAUGUGGUUCAUCAUUUGCUUGGGAGAAGAAGUGUCAAUAUCAUUUGUAAUGUAAUAUGUAUAAAUAUCAAAUAAUAUAAUAUGUAGUGAUUGCAUUUUUA